GAAAGGACAAGAUAAUGGGCCCCCUUNAAAAGUGCCCUCCAAUAAACCAGAUGAUCUAAUCUCAAUCUGUUAUGUAAUAAAAACACACUGCCCAAGACCAGGGCUC
rnacentral:rRNA from 1 species